AGCGGCGGAGGGUGAGUAACACUUAGGAAUCUACCUAGUAGUGGGGGAUAGCUCGGGGAAACUCGAAUUAAUACCGCAUACGACCUACGGGAGAAAGGGGGCAACUCGUUGCUCUCGCUAUUAGAUGAGCCUAAGUCGGAUUAGCUAGUUGGUGGGGUAAAGGCCUACCAAGGCGACGAUCUGUAGCUGGUCUGAGAGGAUGAUCAGCCACACCGGGACUGAGACACGGCCCGGACUCCUACGGGAGGCAGCAGUGGGGAAUAUUGGACAAUGGGGGCAACCCUGAUCCAGCCAUGCCGCGUGUGUGAAGAAGGCCUUUUGGUUGUAAAGCACUUUAAGCAGUGAAGAAGACCUAACGGUUAAUACCCGUUAGCGAUGACAUUAGCUGCAGAAUAAGCACCGGCUAACUCUGUGCCAGCAGCCGCGGUAAUACAGAGGGUGCAAGCGUUAAUCGGAAUUACUGGGCGUAAAGCGAGCGUAGGUGGCUUGAUAAGUCAGAUGUGAAAUCCCCGGGCUUAACCUGGGAACUGCAUCUGAUACUGUUAGGCUAGAAUAGGUGAGAGGAAGGUAGAAUUCCAGGUGUAGCGGUGAAAUGCGUAGAGAUCUGGAGGAAUACCGAUGGCGAANGCAGCCUUCUGGCAUCAUAUUGACACUGAGGUUCGAAAGCGUGGGUAGCAAACAGGAUUAGAUACCCUGGUAGUCCACGCCGA
rnacentral:rRNA from 1 species